rnacentral:rRNA from 1 species
UACGUAGGGUGCGAGCGUUAAUCGGAAUUACUGGGCGUAAAGCGUGCGCAGGCGGUUUUGUAAGCCAGAUGUGAAAUCCCCGGGCUUAACCUGGGAAUGGCAUUUGGGACUGCAAGGCUUGAGUGCGGCAGAGGAGACUGGAAUUCCUGGUGUAGCAGUGAAAUGCGUAGAUAUCAGGAGGAACACCGAUGGCGAAGGCAGGUCUCUGGGCUGACACUGACGCUCAUGCACGAAAGCGUGGGAAGCGAACAA